ensembl:rRNA 5S_rRNA 5S ribosomal RNA
GCUUAUGGCCAAACCGCCUGGUUCACGGCUGAUCUCGUUUGAUCUCGGAAGCUAAGAUAGGUUAGGCCUGGUUAGUACUUGGAUGGGAGACCGCCUGGGAAUACCAGGUGCUGUAAGCU